UUGGACAAUGGGGGCAACCCUGAUCCAGCCAUCCCGCGUGUGCGAUGAAGGCCUUCGGGUUGUAAAGCACUUUUGGCAGGGAAGAAAAGGCUUUGGCUAAUACCUGGAGCUGCUGAUGGUACAUGCAGAAUAAGCCCCGGCUUACUACGCGCCACAAGCCGCAGCAAUACGUAGGGUGCAAGCGUCAAUCGGAAUUACUGGGCGUAAAGCGUGCGCAGGCGGUUCGGCAAGAAGGAUGUGAAAUCCCAGGGCUUAACCUUGGAACUGCAUUCUUAACUGCCGGGCUAGAGUAUGUCAGAGGGGGGUAGAAUUCCGCGUGUAGCAGUGAAAUGCGUAGAGAUGCGGAGGAAUACCGAUGGCGAAGGCAGCCCCCUGGGAUAAUACUGACGCUCAUGCACGAAAGCGUGGGGAGCAAACA
rnacentral:rRNA from 1 species